rnacentral:rRNA from 1 species
UACGGGGGGGGCAAGCGUUGUUCGGAAUUACUGGGCGUAAAGGGCUCGUAGGUGGCCAACUAAGUCAGACGUGAAAUCCCUCAGCUUAACUGGGGAACUGCGUCUGAUACUGGAUGGCUUGGAUUCGGGAGAGGAAUGCGGAAUUCCAGGUGUAGCGGUGAAAUGCGUAGAUAUCUGGAGGAACACCGGUGGCGAAGGCGGCUCACUGGACCGGUUCUGACGCUGAUGCGCGAAAGCGUGGGGAGCAAACGGG